GUCGAACGCACAGCGAAAGGUGCUUGCACCUUUCAAGUGAGUGGCGAACGGGUGAGUAACACGUGGACAACCUACCUCAAGGCUGGGGAUAACAUUUGGAAACAGAUGCUAAUACCGAAUAAAACUUAGUGUCGCAUGACACAAAGUUAAAAGGCGCUUCGGCGUCACCUAGAGAUGGAUCCGCGGUGCAUUAGUUAGUUGGUGGGGUAAAGGCCUACCAAGACAAUGAUGCAUAGCCGAGUUGAGAGACUGAUCGGCCACAUUGGGACUGAGACACGGCCCAAACUCCUACG
rnacentral:rRNA from 1 species